GUAGCGGUGGUUCAGAGGUAGAAUUCCCAACUUCCGUAUGGGAGACCUGGGUUCGAUUCCUCACCAAUGCA
rnacentral:tRNA from 1 species